GUUGCGUGAGAGGCAGGUCAUCGCUUUGCCCCUCCAUCUCCCACAUCGCCCCUUUCCUCGUCACACGGAGUCGAAGGGGAAAGAAGAGGUUGAGUCGGGCUUCUCCUUGCGUCGGGUUUUCUCCUCGGUUUCUACUCCGUCCACCCCGCUUCCUCGCCUCCUCCCCUUCUGCCGGCCCAUUUUCCAAUUUUCGGGUUUCCUCCCUUCCGCUCGACUCGUUGCGUGAAGAGGAGCUUCAGCGACGCGAGCUGUGAUGGGCACCGGGGGCAAGGUUGGCCAGAAUUUUUUGCAUGUUCGGGGAUGGCUUCAUGUAUAUUCAUUCAGUUGUUGUCGUACUCCAAUUUAUUAUUCAUGGUUUCCUUGGCCUACAGAAAUAUAUGCACAUCAAGGAGCAUAGAGCUGCCAUUUACAUCCAGGUGUUCUAGAUAUCCUAAUGAUGUAUGGUGCAUUUCAACAUCACGUCGAUCAGCUGUUACCCGAACAUCACGUCUAUUUUAUAUGUUAAAGAUCUUAAAAGUCUCUCAAUUGACCUAUUGGUUCCUGGCAUGUUGGUUAAUGCUCAAGUGACUUCAGUACUUGAGAAUUGGAUAAUGCUAUCAUUGCUUAUACAUACUUCACUAGAUAUGUAUGACUUUUUAAUUUUUUCAUUGCUUAUAUAUUUUUUGAAGGUGCAAGGCUUUGGAAUUGAAUAAGAUACAUUCACCUAGUGACUUAUAAUCUAUAACUGGAAUAUGGAAAGAUAAUUAUGCUCAGAACAAACACAUUCUCAUUAUCGAUGAGUUAGUUACCAUGCUUUCUAAUUCUUUUUUUUUUUUUUUGACACAUGAGCUACACCAAAUAGUGAAUGCAGUCGUUGAAAUGGUAGCCCCUGCGUGUGCUCAGGCAGCAUUGAACGAUUUUAUCAGUCACUAGGCGUCUUGCAGUUGCUGCAAUUGUAUCAGAAUGCCUUGUAGCUUCCUCAUUUGAGACUGUCAGAGGUUGGGACAACUUUAAAUCGUUACUGUCCCCAAGUGGGCACAUGUCCUUCUGGUUCAGACCAUCUGUGCACACCAGGGUCGGUGGUUGACUAUUCUGUCGGGUUGUUCCCUCUAUCACAGGACUUGUGUUGUCUCAUUACUAGCCUCAUUAGCAGCACUAUCCAGGUCUUCAUGGUUCCCAACAAUUGUAUUCAUUGUUUGGGGAUUCCGGGAGGCAUUACAGUGCGCUACAUGGUGUCCUAGUUGCUGGCAUCCGGUGCAAAGCUUCAUGUAGAUUCAAAAUGCAGCUGUUGGACUAAAAUAUAUGGGCACUAUAUGUAUGCUCAUUUAUGGAUGACUAGAGAAUGAUGCUCUUGUUUCUUGAAACUCAAGAAGAGGAAAUUGAAGGAAGAUUGUUGGGAUCAUGCGUAAAGAUGGAAACUGUCUCUCAAAUAAAGAGUAGUGUUUGGAAGGAUCGGCUAGAAGGUUUUUGUCCUACUUUUCUGAUAGUUUUAGAGGAUGUGGGCGAUACAUAUGCAACUUUAGCACUAAUGUAUGGAUAUGAUGCUAGAUAUGCUCCUUCAACAAGUCAUUCAAGCUAGAAUAAUUGCACUAGUGGUCGUGUUGUCAUCAAUUCUUCUGAAAUGAGCAUCUCAUUCCCUUUAAAAUAAAGAGAUCAAAUGCUCGAUUAUGUCCUGAGAUUGAUGGGUGAGAUGAGAAUGAGUUGGUUGAUUCAAGCAUUGAGCAUCUGCAAACUCAGACUCUUGCUUUGUGUGCGUGUAAAACUUGGGUUUUAGUGGAACCAUGAUUGAAGCUAGAAACCGUAUUCUAAAGGGCUGAUAGCUCAUUCAAAAGCGGUUUGCUGCUAGAAUGCUUAUUGGAAAGAAACCUGCCCAAGCAUUGCUCCCUACCAACAAAAGUCUAUUACAAAGUCGUGUGUGAAAACGACAAAUGGGGUGGGAUAAUCGAAGGUUUUUGUUGAGAUUGAAGAUAUUGAGGAGCAUGCUGUGAAAAGGACUCCUUCAAUGAGUGAGCUCAAUGAAAUAAUGCUGGGCAGGAACAACUUAAGCAAAGUAGCCCGUUAUUUUUCAUAGUAUCAUAAGGGAUUCUGAUUCAGGAAGCUAUUCCUAAUGAAGUUUAUAACUCAGCUGAUGAAGAGUAUACUGCUGACGAAGGAUAAAGACAAUCAAGAGAUUCUGAUUUAAUUUUAGAAGGUAACAUACCAAAGUGGAAAUUACAAAAAGAUAGUUAUAGAUUUCAACACUUCUUAAUAAGAGAUUUUAGUGUGUUUAUGGGGACAAGUUCAGCACCUGCUCAUUGAUGUCAUUACUUAAAUGGCUUCCAUCAUGAAAAAAAUUCCAAAGUGAUGCGUGGUGCUGUGUCUUUUGGGGCUGCUUAUAUUAAAACAUGAAAUCAAGCAAUGGAAUGCUUUACCAUUUUUUGUGAGCUCUACAAAAUCAUGAAAGAGCAAGAAUCCCAAGGUUUCCGGUGAAGGCAUUUCAUGGAUGGUAUCUACAGUUGAAGACUUUGGAAUUAUGCCUAUAAAGUUAAAGAUUACAAGUGACACCAGGAAACUUGUCCAUCACGCUCAAAUCAUAUUGCUCGAGUUGAUGCUUGCACGGAUUUGUUUUCUUGCUGUGUUGGGAGUUAAAUUCAUUCCAUUAUGCCCUGAUAACUACUGCUCUUUUGUAAUUUGAGAGCUUGCUUUUCUUGGAUGCUAAGAUUUCUAUAAUUGCAGUUGUUUGUACCAAUAAGUUUCUUUUCCUUCAUGGUGGCUUCUGCGUUGGAAGUCGUAUUCCUUGAGCUGGCAGAUAAGCUCAAGUUCUCGAAGCUUGCAAGCACUUGCUGAGAUGCUGCUCUUUCGAUGCUGGCCAUUUGUCGUCUAGCGUCAUGUUCUUCUUCAAGGAGGGCGCUUGUUCGGGUUGAGUUAACCAGGUCUUCAUAUUCAGUAAGGAGUAGAUAAUGUGGGCUAGAUAAUUGGAGGCAUGUUGAUUGGGUUGAGCUUUGAUUUGACUUAGGGCUUCCUCCAGAGUCAUCAGGGUCUCUUCUUGUGGAUGCCAUCAUGUGGUUAAACUGCACACAAGACGAGACAAGGCAUCAGCCAAAAGGUUGUCCUUACCGUCGAUAUGCUGGAAGUUAAUUGGUAUGCCCAUGUUGGUGACGAAGUCGGUGAAGGCUAUCCAUCUCACUCUAGAAGGCUUGUUCUGAAAGCUUUUGUUGAAAAAUGAUAUUAUAGCCUUGCAAUUAGUUCGGACCAUUAAUUCCUUUUUAUCAAGAUAAUAAAUCUUGAAGCUAUCCAGGCUGUUCAUUACUACAUAGAUCUCAGCAUCUAUGGUAGCUUUUGGUGGACAGAAUUUCCCGCUUGCAUAUGCACAAACUUUUUCUGUUGAUUUGGGAUUAAAUUGUUGUAGCUUCCACUUACAUAUUCCUCCCCAGCCUUCCAUACAGCCAUCUCUUUCAAGUAUGAUAAACUAGUUUUCUGGUGGAAGCUCGAGAUCCGGGAGUUGUUGGACCUUUUCUUUAAUUUGUCUUACUAAGGCCCAAUCCUGACUAUUCAUCUUCUUUUCUCCGGUCAGGCUAAUUUUUGAAUAUAGUGGCCCAAGUGUUUUUCCAAGAUUAGGAAUAUAAGAACGAGCAUAGUUAAGAAGUCCUAACCAUGAUCGCUGGCCUUUUGUUGUUUGAAGAUCUUUUUCUUGAAAUCCUGAGAUCCUCUUGAUAAUACGAGGCUGUAAUUUGAUUCUUUUAUUGCCAAUAGUGGCUCCCAGAAAAUCAAUUGUAGGUACUCCUAUUUUCAUUUUGUUGGACUUAGUAUGAGACCAUUCUUGUUGCAUAUAUCAAGCAUAACCUUCAAAUGUUCUGCAUGCUCUUUUUCAUUCUUAGAAAAUACCAGGAUAUCAUCAAUAUAUAUGGCUAUGAACUGCUCUGUUCCUCUGAAGUAGUUAUCCAUAUUUCUUUGGAAUACUGCGGGAGCAUUCUUUAACCCGAAUGGCAUAACGAGUAAUUCAUAUAAACCGUCAGGUACCCAAAAAGAUGUCCAUUCAAUGGACUGAGGAUGCAUAGCAACUUGAUGAAAACCGCUUUUCAAAUCAAAUUUUGAAUAUAUAAUCAUUCAUAAAUUGAAUGACAUCCUUAAUAUUAUUGCAAGAAAGCCGCUCUAAGUCUCGAUAUGCCUCAUCUUGUAUCAGCGUUGAGCUUUGGUAUGGAUCUUCUAAAACAAAUAUUCUUCGAAUUUGAGAAAUAAUAUUUUGUGUACCUUCCCUUCCUUCUGGCCCGUUAAGGAGUUCUUGAUAUUCAUCUAAAAAAGUCAUUCGCCAUUGUAUCCAAGCUAAUUUUUCAGCUUCGCCAAGUAGAUUUUCAAUGAACUCUGCUUUGUCGUUCGCAUUUGUAAAAUUUUGCUGUGCCACUAAAUUUUUUUGUUAUACUUUCCCAUC